rnacentral:rRNA from 1 species
AAAUUGAAGAGUUUGAUCAUGGCUCAGAUUGAACGCUGGCGGCAGGCCUAACACAUGCAAGUCGAGCGGUAGCACAGAGAGCUUGCUCUCGGGUGACGAGCGGCGGACGGGUGAGUAAUGUCUGGGAAACUGCCUGAUGGAGGGGGAUAACUACUGGAAACGGUAGCUAAUACCGCAUAAUGUCGCAAGACCAAAGUGGGGGACCUUCGGGCCUCAUGCCAUCAGAUGUGCCCAGAUGGGAUUAGCUAGUAGGUGGGGUAAUGGCUCACCUAGGCGACGAUCCCUAGCUGGUCUGAGAGGAUGACCAGCCACACUGGAACUGAGACACGGUCCAGACUCCUACGGGAGGCAGCAGUGGGGAAUAUUGCACAAUGGGCGCAAGCCUGAUGCAGCCAUGCCGCGUGUGUGAAGAAGGCCUUCGGGUUGUAAAGCACUUUCAGCGGGGAGGAAGGCGGUGAGGUUAAUAACCUCACCGAUUGACGUUACCCGCAGAAGAAGCACCGGCUAACUCCGUGCCAGCAGCCGCGGUAAUACGGAGGGUGCAAGCGUUAAUCGGAAUUACUGGGCGUAAAGCGCACGCAGGCGGUCUGUCAAGUCGGAUGUGAAAUCCCCGGGCUUAACCUGGGAACUGCAUUCGAAACUGGCAGGCUAGAGUCUUGUAGAGGGGGGUAGAAUUCCAGGUGUAGCGGUGAAAUGCGUAGAGAUCUGGAGGAAUACCGGUGGCGAAGGCGGCCCCCUGGACAAAGACUGACGCUCAGGUGCGAAAGCGUGGGGAGCAAACAGGAUUAGAUACCCUGGUAGUCCACGCCGUAAACGAUGUCGAUUUGGAGGUUGUGCCCUUGAGGCGUGGCUUCCGGAGCUAACGCGUUAAAUCGACCGCCUGGGGAGUACGGCCGCAAGGUUAAAACUCAAAUGAAUUGACGGGGGCCCGCACAAGCGGUGGAGCAUGUGGUUUAAUUCGAUGCAACGCGAAGAACCUUACCUGGUCUUGACAUCCACAGAACUUUCCAGAGAUGGAUUGGUGCCUUCGGGAACUGUGAGACAGGUGCUGCAUGGCUGUCGUCAGCUCGUGUUGUGAAAUGUUGGGUUAAGUCCCGCAACGAGCGCAACCCUUAUCCUUUGUUGCCAGCGGU